rnacentral:rRNA from 1 species
GAUGAACGCUAGCUGCAGGCUUAACACAUGCAAGUCGAGGGACCGGCGCACGGGUGAGUAAUACGUAUCCAACCUGCCCUUUACUCGGGGAUAGCCUUUCGGAUGAAAGAUUAAUACUCGAUAUAAAGGAUGGGGAUGCGUUUCAUUGGGUUGUGGGUGAGGUAACGGCCCACAAAGCCUUCGAUGGAUAGUGGUUCUGAGAGGAAGGUCCCCGAGAUUGGAACAGGGCCACGAUCCAAACGCGUACGGGAGGCAGGGGUUAGGAAGAUAUGGAAAUAAGCGUUAGCCUGAACCAGCCAAGUAGCGUGAAGGAUGAUGGCUUAUGAGUCGUAAACUUCUUAUAUAUAAGAAGAGGUAUUAUAUGAAUAAGGAUCGGCUAACUCCGUGCCAGCAGCCGCGGUAAUAC